UACGUAGGGCGCAAGCGUUUGUCCGGAAUUACUGGGCGUAAAGGGCGCGCAGGCGGCUCUGAAAGUCAGAUGUGAAAGCCCCGGGCUUAACCUGGGAAUUGCAUUUGAUACUCUGGAGCUUGAGUGUGGGAGAGGAGAGUGGAAUUCCCAGUGUAGAGGUGAAAUUCGUAGAUAUUGGGAAGAACACCGGUGGCGAAGGCGGCUCUCUGGACCACAACUGACGCUGAGGCGCGAAAGCGUGGGGAGCAAACAGG
rnacentral:rRNA from 1 species